GACGAACGCUGGCGGCGUGCUUAACACAUGCAAGUCGAACGGAAAGGCCCCUUUGGGGGUACUCGAGUGGCGAACGGGUGAGUAACACGUGAGUAACCUGCCCUGGACUUCGGGAUAACUUCAGGAAACUGGGGCUAAUACCGGAUAGGUAUCCUUGCUGCAUGGUGGGGGUUGGAAAGCUUCGGCGGUUUUGGAUGGACUCGCGGCUUAUCAGCUUGUUGGUGGGGUAGUGGCUUACCAAGGCUUCGACGGGUAGCCGGCCUGAGAGGGCGACCGGCCACCUUGGGACUGAGGUACGGCACAGACUCCUACGGGAGGAAGCAGUGGGGAAUAUUGCACAAUGGGCGGAAGCCUGAUGCAGCAACGCCGCGGGCGGGAAGACGGCCUUCGGGUUGUAAACCGCUUUCAGCAGGGGCGAAGCUUGUGGUGACGGUACCUGCAGAAGAAGCACCGGCUAACUACGUG
rnacentral:rRNA from 1 species